UACGAAGGGGGCUAGCGUUGUUCGGAUUUACUGGGCGUAAAGCGCACGUAGGCGGAUUGGUCAGUUAGGGGUGAAAUCCCGAGGCUCAACCUCGGAACUGCCUUUAAUACUGCCAGUCUAGAGUCCGAGAGAGGUGGGUGGAACUCCUAGUGUAGAGGUGGAAUUCGUAGAUAUUAGGAAGAACACCAGUGGCGAAGGCGGCUCACUGGCUCGGUACUGACGCUGAGGUGCGAAAGCGUAGGUAGCGAACAGG
rnacentral:misc_RNA from 1 species